UAAAACAACAAACAAAUUGAAUAUACAUUAAGAAGUCUUUAUACCAAGAUAGUCGCAACUAAAAUAGCAACAAAAUUAGUAAUAAAACAAAUAUUCUACAAUAUCCAAAUAAUAUUAAAAACAGCAGUGAAACAACAUAAUAAACAGCACCAAAACAACCUGCAAAACCAAUGACAAAAAGGGAUGAAUUUGCAAAUAGAAAAUGAGAAAAUAAUAAGACCACAUGUGGUUUAAAAGAACCAAAUUAUAGAUAUGAAUGCAUCUUCUCCGAGUUUCACAUAAUGAGGUUCAUGGAAACAAAAACCAUCAUUAAGUUUGAGAGAAAGGGAUGUUGUGUUAUUUCAAAAACUAUCAUAAUAUCAGUAAGUUAUAUACUCUUCCCUCAUCAAGCUUUACACCAGACACCAAUACUGACUUGCACCAACGAGUAUCCACCAGAAAGAUAAGGUUUCCUUCGAUUCUAUUUUGCUUAGGAGGUUAGCCAGCCAAAUUAAGUAAUAUGAUAAAUAUGAGAUUUGGUACCAGCUCCAGUAUAUGUCUCUUAUCAAAGAUCAGUAUAAUGAAUUCGCAGAAAUUUCCAAUUUUUAAACUGUCAAAAAAGUUUAGCAGUUGAAAGUCAGGAUUCGGGUUGAAAGUUUAGACCUCUAAUUUUCCAAUUCUAAAAGCGAUAACUUCAAGCUGCUGAUUGAAAACGGGAGAACCAUAAUCUACUUUCUCAUCUAUUUAAAAAUUGAGUAUUUCUGCUUCUUUUUCAAAGUCAAUCAGUGUCUGUUGAUUAUGAGUAUUCAUAUUCAAAUAUUUCAACAUUAUAUAGUCAUAAUCAUGAAUAAAAUCCCAGCAGGUUGAAGCAGUCUAAAGGCAGCCUUAGUCAACGAUAAAAAAAAAUAUGUUAAAAAAACAAAGUUGCGAAGUCACAUUAACACAGGUUCAACAAAAUAAGUAAAGCAAAGAAAAUAUUGAAAUUUGAAAUAAACAACCUAACAAUGGAGCAAUAAUGACUAGAAAUACUAACAAACAAGAAGCAGAAACCCUAAUUAGCGAAAAGACAAAAAGUUUGAAGGGAGUUAAAAAGAAUCUAAAUGAGGGAAAAAAGGAGAAGAAAGAGGACGAGGACUCACCGAUCAGAGGACAAAAGGCGAAAGCAAAUUGCUCCCCAUGGGAAAAGUUAAAUUUUUUAUUUUUGGUCUUAGUUAAAUUUUUUAUUAAAUUUAUUAGUAUAACCUUCCGAAAUAAAAAAAUAUUCAAUUGAUAGUAAUAUAAUUAAAACAAUCACGUUAUUUUAAUAAAAUAAUAUUAACAAUGUUAAGAAUUAAAUAUAAAUUUAAAAAAUAUAUAGACCUAUGCUAUAUUUUAACCCCAAAUUAAAACAACAAAGAUAGUUGAAAUCAAUGAGAAAAAAUGGAACUUUAGGGUUUUGAUUCAAUUACUUGCAACAAAGAUACUGCAAUCAGUUUCACCCCACUUUCAAAUGGCCUUAUAUGGGUUUUCACUGUUGGACUUGAGCUUUAUUUUGGAUAAAUUAUACUGAGAAGAUAUUAAAUUAUUAGUAAAUUUAUAUUUUUAUUUCGUGUAAUCAAUUAAGUUGUAUUGUUUAAUAUAAUAACUAAUAUAUUAAAGGUAAACUACAACAGUAGUCACAUUUGUUUACGUCAAAUUAUAUUUUAAUCACAUAUAUUUAAAAUUUUACAUUUUAAUCUUUUAAAGUAGAGUAACUAUUUCGUAACAAAACGACAAUAUAAGUGACAAUAUAAGUGAGUAUAAGGCAAACAAAAGUGACAAAUUUUAUAGUUUACUCCUAUAUUAAUUGCUAAUAACAUAAUUUUAUGUGUAUCGAGUCUUAUUGGUUACUUUAAAAUAUUUCUAAUUUUAAUCGAAGUUAGUGACAUUCAAAUAUUUGUAAUUUAGACAAAGCUUUAAAAUAAAUCAAAUUUUAUUAAAAUAACAAGUUUUUAAGUUUGUUAAUCAAAACAUGGACCAACUCUCGGGGUGGUAUCGUCUUUCGCGGCAGAAGCGCUAGCCUGCUUACAGGCAAUCCAGUGGGGGAAAAGAGAGGGGGGUUUCGACGAAUAGAGGUAGAAGGAGACGCGCUUAGCAUCAUUAAAAAAACAAAAAGCAAAGAGGAGGACCGAUCAGUAUUUCGAGCAUAUAUGAUGGAAAUAAAAGAGUUAGAGAAAGGUUUUAAAGAAUGUCAUUUCAAAAAAAUCUCAAAAUCUGGAAAUGGAACAGCACAUGCAUUAGCAAAGGAAGGAUUAAAGAGACAACCGAAAACUUACCUGGAUGGUUGGUGGCCGGAAGCAAAGCUGAGGGCAAGUGAAUCAGAUGGAAGAAGAAUGGGUAGAUUGGAGUGGGUAAUAGAUGUUUAAGUCUUCAGAGUAGAUGGAGAGACUCUCUUUUAGUGACUGGGCAUAGAGAUUAUCGGAAG
rnacentral:lncRNA from 1 species